AUUGCUUCUCGGCCUUUUGGCUAAGAUCAAGUGUAGUACCUAAUUCUCUUGACAGACAAUUUGCCAGCAUAUAUGAAAGAAUCAAAAUAUGAAGACCCUUU
rnacentral:snRNA from 1 species